rnacentral:rRNA from 1 species
GGACUACCGGGGUUUCUAAUCCUGUUUGAUCCCCAUGCUUUCGUGCCUGAGCGUCGAUACCGGGCCAAAUUGCUGCCUUCGCCACUGGUGUUCUUCCGAAUAUCUACACAUUUCACUGCUACACUCGGAAUUCCACAAUUCUCUCCCGGAUCCAAGACUUACAGUAUCAAAGGCAGUUUCACAGUUAAGCUGUGAGAUUUCACCCCUGACUUAUAAGUCCGCCUGCGCACCCUUUACACCCAGUAAAUCCGGACAACGCUCGGAUCCUACGUAUUACCGCGGCUGCUGGCAC